GGGAAGUUGGCUCAGUGAUAGAGCACUUGCCUCACAUGCAUGAGGCCCUUGGUUCCAUUCCCCA
rfam:Dipodomys ordii contig_34804, whole genome shotgun sequence.